AGUGAACGCUGGCGGUAGGCCUAACACAUGCAAGUCGAACGGCAGCACAGUAAGAGCUUGCUCUUACGGGUGGCGAGUGGCGGACGGGUGAGGAAUACAUCGGAAUCUACUUUUUCGUGGGGGAUAACGUAGGGAAACUUACGCUAAUACCGCAUACGACCUACGGGUGAAAGCAGGGGAUCUUCGGACCUUGCGCGAUUGAAUGAGCCGAUGUCGGAUUAGCUAGUUGGCGGGGUAAAGGCCCACCAAGGCGACGAUCCGUAGCUGGUCUGAGAGGAUGAUCAGCCACACUGGAACUGAGACACGGUCCAGACUCCUACGGGAGGCAGCAGUGGGGAAUAUUGGACAAUGGGCGCAAGACUGAUCCAGCCAUACCGCGUGGGUGAAGAAGGCCUUCGGGUUGUAAAGCCCUUUUGUUGGGAAAGAAAAGCAGCAGGUUAAUACCCCGCUGUCCUGACGGUACCCAAAGAAUAAGCACCGGCUAACUUCGUG
rnacentral:rRNA from 1 species